rnacentral:lncRNA from 1 species
GGAGAUGCGGCGAGGACUGGCGGGUGCACAACCAGAUUUUCAGGAAUUUGAAAAUGUGUCAUGAGUACAAGAAAGAAUCUGAAACAUUAGAACCGUGACUAAACCAAUGGCAUGGACUAAAACCACGUGUCCAAGAGAAACAGUGUUAGGACUGAUGAAGAAGAGCAGAAGAAAAUGGAGAGACUUUGGCGAGCAUCUGGAAAAAGUCCUGCAGAUUCCUAUUCUGUAGUAACAAGAGAUAUGCUCUCAGUAGCCAAAGAAGUAGCCUCUGGAGUGACCUGUGGACUUCAGCAAGAGAAGGCCUGCAUCAGGCCUUACAGCAUGGCACACGGCUCUGGGUGCUUCAGGUCAUUGCUCUGUCUCUCCUACUGGACAAGGCAUUGCCUCAAGGGCAGCGAUCAUCUCAUUACCAUAUUUUGAUCUCCUCGGCAUCUGCCAUAGCAAAGCUGUCUAGAGAAGUGAUGAUAUCCAACCUGUGUGUGUGUGUAUGUGUGGUGUAUGCCUUUAACAUCGCUGGAGAUUGAACCCAGAGCCUCAUACAAGCAUUCUACCACUGAGAAUGCUGUGAACAGAAGUCUGACUUCAGCAUGAGUGGAUCAAAAUUGCACACAUGAAGCACCAGGCAGCCUAGUCCUCUUUUUCCAGCAACAAGGGGACCUUCUCAACAUGGUGGUUUCAAGACAGCCAGGAGAACCAUGCUGCCUCCAGAAAUCGCUGCUCUACCCAAAGCCUGAGAUUCCCAGCUAGAUACAUAAUUACAUCGGUAGAGACCACAUUUUCCAGCUUCCCUUACAACUACAAGUGGUUAAAUGGCAGAAGCGAUGUGUCUGGAACUCCAAUGUGGUACUGAUAAGCUAGUUGUGACCAAGAGCAGGAGACGGAGCAAUAAUUUUGGACACAAAGGUGAAAGCUCUAUGCAGAAGAUGGGUUCUGGGCCCUUGAAGACCGUCACAGAGCCAAGAGUGUCCUUCCUCUUUUGCAGAGUUGUAUGCGAGAUGAAUAAAUUACAGUACUAUGUGAUGUAAGCCAUGUUACAUUGGACAUCUUUGUUACAGCAAACCUAUACCCUAGUGAAAACAUUGGGUUUCUGUCUUGCCCUGGUGUCUUAGUUUCUUUUUCUUAUUAC